GAUGAACGCUGGCGGCGUGCUUAACACAUGCAAGUCGAACGGAAAGGCCCUGAUCUUGUGCGGUGCCCGGUUGGGGAAGGCGUGCGUAUCACGUGUGUAACAUCUCCUUGAUUUUCGGAGAACUUCAGGUAAAUGGGGCUAAAACAGCACAGGAGAUCCUGUUCCGCGGUGUGCGUUGGAAAGUCACGGCGUUUGGGUAUGGAAUCGCGGCUUAUCAGCUCGUUGGUGGGGUAGUGGCUUACCAAGGCUUUGACGGGUAGCCGGCCUGAGAGGGUGACCGGCACAUUGGGACUGAGAUACGGCCCAGACUCCUACGGGAGGCAGCAGUGGGAAGUAUUGCACAAUGGGCGGGAGCCUGAUGCAGCAACGCCGCGUGCGGGAUGACGGCCUUCGGGUUGUAAACCGCUUUCGCCUGUGACGAAGCGUGAGUGACGGUAAUGAGUAAAGAAGCACCGGCUAACUACGUG
rnacentral:rRNA from 1 species